ACCAUCAAAGUACAACACUACAGAGUUGGCUUUCACAUUGGCAUGGAUUCUGGCUAAAUAACUCAGGUUGCCAGGCUUUUGUGCCAAAUGCCCUUUUAGGCCGAGACAUUAUCCCAGAUCCCAAGUUUAGUUUACACUAUGAGAAUGCCACCAUAUUUUUUUUCUUUUACGUAUAAAUAGUUCUGUGUAACAUUCAAAAUGGUUUUGUUCAUUGUGCUCUUUUCAAAAUGAAGCCUCUGGCAUUUGCAUUUACCUCUUGUAUACCUCCUUUGAGACAGAAAUGUGCUAUGAGGGAAAGCUUGUAUCAGAGUUCCCAGGAAGCUUCCUGAAUGCCAUCACCCUACUCUAGCAGUCUAAACUUGAAAAAUCACAAAAGAAAUGUGAUAACUGUUCAGAUCUUUCAAUAUCUGGCUCCAGUAAACAAGAGCUUGAAGGGCCACCUAAGCCUGGAAAUGUAGCCAAGAAAGGUAUUGAUGAUCCAAACAGUCUGAACUCUUUGACAUCUCCCAUAAGGAAGCCUAUACUAAAAGGGCAGUCUAAAACUAGAGCAUUAGACGAGAAAGAUUUUGACCGUCCACAUACUCUGGUUCUUUCAUUAUCUGCAUUCAGUAAACAAGAGCUUGAAGGGCCACCUAAGCCUGGAAAUGUAGCCAAGAAAGGUUUUGA
rnacentral:sRNA from 1 species